rnacentral:sRNA from 1 species
GCUGCGGCCCCCAGACCUGGCGCAGCGUGUCCAGCUGUGGGAGCACUUCCAGAGCCUGCUGUGGACCUACAGCCGCCUGCGGGAGCAGGAGCAGUGCUUCGCCGUGGAGGUGACUACUGGGCGCGGGAGUCCUCAGGACUUGAAGCUGUCAGGCCCUGGAGCGACUGAUUCACCCCCAGCUCUGUGAGCUGUGCAUAGAGGCGCUGGAGCGGCACGUCAUCCAGGCUGUCAACACCAGCCCCGAGCGGGGAGGCGAGGAGGCCCUGCAUGCCUUCCUGCUCGUGCACUCCAAGCUGCUGGCAUUCUACUCUAGCCACAGUGCCAGCUCCCUGCGCCCGGCCGACCUGCUUGCCCUCAUCCUCCUGGUUCAGGACCUCUACCCCAGCGAGAGCACAGCAGAGGACGACAUUCAGGAGACAGACAGCUUCUCCCUCCCUGAGGAGUACUUCACACCAGCUCCUUCCCCUGGCGAUCAGAGCUCAGGUAGCACCAUCUGGCUGGAGGGGGGCACCCCCCCCAUGGAUGCCCUUCAGAGCCCCAGCGCGCCCCUGGCCCUGGUUCUGUCCCAGCUGAUGGAUGGCUUCUCCAUGCUGGAGAAGAAGCUGAAGGAAGGGCCGGAGCCCGGGGCCUCCCUGCGCUCCCAGCCCCUCGUGGGAGACCUGCGCCAGAGGAUGGACAAGUUUGUCAAGAAUCGAGGGGCACAGGAGAUUCAGAGCACCUGGCUGGAGUUUAAGGCCAAGGCUUUCUCCAAAAGUGAGCCCGGAUCCUCCUGGGAGCUGCUCCAGGCAUGUGGGAAGCUGAAGCGGCAGCUCUGCGCCAUCUACCGGCUGAACUUUCUGACCACAGCCCCCAGCAGGGGAGGCCCACACCUGCCCCAGCACCUGCAGGACCAAGUGCAGAGGCUCAUGCAGGAGAAGCUGACAGACUGGAAGGACUUCUUGCUGGUGAAGAGCAGGAGGAACAUCACCAUG